AUAGUUCUUCAGGACAAGGUGAAAUUCCUGACCGGCAGUAUAGUCUGCGCGCCAUAUGGCUGAUACGGCGAAAUCCCGUAACCGACGGUAAAGUCCGGAUGAAAGGAGAUAACA
rnacentral:ncRNA from 2 species